rnacentral:rRNA from 1 species
AUACAGAGGGCUCAAGCGUUAAUCAGAAUCACUGGGCUUAAAGGGUGCGUAGGCGGGUCCGUAAGUGUCUUGUGAAAUCCCAUGGCUCAACCAUGGAACUGCUCGGCAUACUGCGGACCUUGAGAUCGGUAGGGGCUGUCGGAACUCUAGGUGUAGCGGUGAAAUGCGUAGAUAUCUAGAGGAACGCCAAUAGUGAAGACAGGCAGCUGGUCCGAUACUGACGCUGAGGCACGAAAGCGUGGGUAGCGAACGGGAUUAGAAACCCCAGUAGUCC